rnacentral:rRNA from 1 species
GACGAACGCUGGCGGCGUGCUUAACACAUGCAAGUCGAACGGAAAGGCCCUGCUUUUGUGGGGUGCUCGAGUGGCGAACGGGUGAGUAACACGUGAGUAACCUGCCCUUGACUUUGGGAUAACUUCAGGAAACUGAGGCUAAUACCGGAUAGGAGCUCCUGCUGCAUGGGGGGGGUUGGAAAGUUUCGGCGGUUGGGGAUGGACUCGCGGCUUAUCAGCUUGUUGGUGGGGUAGUGGCUUACCAAGGCUUUGACGGGUAGCCGGCCUGAGAGGGUGACCGGCCACAUUGGGACUGAGAUACGGCCCAGACUCCUACGGGAGGCAGCAGUGGGGAAUAUUGCACAAUGGGCGGAAGCCUGAUGCAGCAACGCCGCGUGCGGGAUGACGGCCUUCGGGUUGUAAACCGCUUUCGCCUGUGACGAAGCGUGAGUGACGGUAAUGGGUAAAGAAGCACCGGCUAACUACGUG